CGUAGGGUGCGAGCGUUAAUCGGAAUUACUGGGCGUAAAGCGUGCGCAGGCGGUUUUGUAAGACAGAUGUGAAAUCCCCGGGCUCAACCUGGGACCUGCAUUUGUGACUGCAAGGCUAGAGUACGGUAGAGGGGGAUGGAAUUCCGCGUGUAGCAGUGAAAUGCGUAGAUAUGCGGAGGAACACCGAUGGCGAAGGCAAUCCCCUGGACCUGUACUGACGCUCAUGCACGAAAGCGUGGGGAGCAAACAGGAUUAGAUACCUUGGUAGUCCACGCCCUAAACGAUGUCAACUGGUUGUUGGGUCUUUACUGACUCAGUAACGAAGCUAACGCGUGAAGUUGACCGCCUGGGGAGUACGGCCGCAAGGUUG
rnacentral:rRNA from 1 species